UACACACCGCCCGUCACACCAUGGGAGUUGAUUGCACCAGAAGUAGGUAGCCUAACCGCAAGGAGGGCGUUUACCACGGUGUGGUCAAUGACUGGGGUG
rnacentral:rRNA from 1 species